CAGAGAAAUUGCCCUUUGGGGUAGAUCUCCCACCCUUUGUUUACAUUACCUUUGUUGCUUUGGCAGGCCCGUCCUUUCGACCACCGGCUUAGGCUGGUCCGCGCCUGCCAGAGGACCCUAAACUCAUGAUUUUGUGUUGUCUGAGUAAUAUAAAAUAAGUUUUA
rnacentral:misc_RNA from 1 species